UUCCACUUCCGGCUAGCAGUCCACCCCGAUGACCAUUGGGCCCGGGUGUAUGUGGGGUUGCUUGUUUGAGAAGGUGGGUAUCUGAGGUCCCGUCGCUCCAGAAAACGAACACGGUGAAAAUCCUAGCCUACAGAGAGCCUCAUCUCAUCCCCAAUCCCCUGCCUCCUCUUCUCCCUCAAUCCCUAUCCUCUCCUUCUCCCAAAUCCGCCGCCUCCUCUUCUCCUCCCCAAUCCGCCGCCUCCUCUUUUCCUCCGCAAUCCGUGAGCCCUCACCACCAAGAAGCCACGGGUGCGCCGCCGCUGGAAGAAAAAAAGAAGAGGAGGUGGCACGGGGACCAGCGGCGGCGACGGCCUGGGAACCACCCUGGAGCAGGUGGAGAUGCGGGGCGGCGAUGAAGGCGUGUGAGAAGAUGGCCUGAGCGUCCUCGUCAAGGGCAGUUUUGGCUACCUCCUCCCGCCUCGGCUUGUUUUUCUCUCCUCCACCGUUGCUACUUCCUCGCUGCUCUCCAAUGAGUGAUUGGGUUUGUCCGCUUGGUGGAGCAGGCAGGGAGCAAGUAGGCAAAUAUGGGAGAAGGAGAAUGACCCUGACGAGAUGGCUGCCAUAGGGUCGUGACCUUCUUUAGCAUGCACAUCGGCACCGUCCCCGCGUCCGCAGCAGGGGGACGACAAUGGCUGCAAGUGACGGCACAGGAGCCCAUCUUAGUCGAGCACCCUCCCAGGAUUUUACUACUGUUAUGGCAAAAGAAGGCUAAAGCUGGGAAAGACAACAAUGUCAGGAGCCGGCCGAGCUAGAUCCAAAAUGCAGAGAGGCAAGGUUUAUUUUCCUGGAGGUCCUAUAUUGCAGCUGGUGCUAUUUUGUUAUGUCAAAUUGUGUAUUUUUCCAGCUUCCCUUCCUCAUGUAUGAGCUUGUCUAUGGUGGGAUGGGGAUUCGGAGGAUAAAUGUUAUGGCAGUAAGGAGGUCAAGCGUGAGACGUCACAUGUCAAGGGGAUUUACUAUUUAGUCUCUUCUAAUCAGGUGAAGAGAUACUGCUGGUUUAAACGGAAUCCAUACUUUAACAUGAUUUCUCCCAAUUCAACAAAGUCAGGUACUACUCAUGUUCUUUCAUGCUAUGGAGCUACUCGAGGCAGCAGAACAUUAUCCCACACGGAGAUGGGGAUGGCCAUGCCCGUGCUGAUGCCGUCGGCCGUCGGUGAGAGCAUCACCGUCAACAACGGCUCCAGCUACCUCUCCAGGAGCUUCUCCAUGAGCUCCUCGGGUGACACCAACUCCAACAUCAUGUUCUUCAUGCCCGGAAGCAAAAAAGCGAAGGUGCUCAUCGACAGCGACGAUGGCAUGGUCACCAGCCUCAGCAAAAUCGAAUCCCAAUUUGGCAUGUCAACCACGUCUUUAGACAUGUCCGGCAUGGACGACUAUCUGCAGCUGCAGCAAUACUUCAUCGCCUACACAGUCUGCACCAAGCGUGGCUGCGCCACUCACCCACGAAGCAUCGCUGAGAGGAUUAGAAAGAAGAGCAAGGAAUAGCAAGAGGCUAAGGAGGCUGCAAGACCUCGUGCCCAAUAUGGACAAGGUAACUAAAUCAGUUGAAUUGAUGCACACUGUCAAUUCUGUCACCAUAAAGUUGGGUGCCAUCUGGCAUCUGCAGAGUAUCAAAGCUUCUUCUAGAUCAAAUAAAGCUAAUCCAGAAUCAACCAUAGUCAAUGCAAGAAGGUUAUACAGGGCAGAUGAUAUUUCAUCAGAGAGGUAUACUACAGUGAAAAUAUAAUAAGUGUGCCAGUUUGUGAUGGUUGAGGGGAAAUGUGAGGUUAUAGCAAAGAAUGACAUUCCAAAUUCAAAUCUUCCGGUAGUGGUUGAGCAUGCCUUUUACUGUGAACAUUUAUAUGAUCCUGAUGCUGGAGCUCUUAAGCAGCUACCGACAAAUGUUAAGCUCAUGACCUUGACAAGGAAGGCGCAUGCUGCAAAAAAGAAUGAAGGCAAGUAGAUUUGUGAUGAUGAGCAAGCUGGUUCAGACAAACAGAACGCAACACCAGAGAACUGUCUUGCAACCCUUGAUAUUUUUGCUGGCUGUGGAGGUUUGUCUGAAGGGUAGUAGCUAUCUGUACUGGCGCACCAUGUACAAAUUGGGCAAUUGGAUAUGAAGAACCUGCUAGGCAAGCAUUUGGUGAAAAUCAUCCAGAGGCAGUGGCAUUAGUGGAGAACUGCAAUGUGAUUCUAAAGUUGUGGUCAGGGAGGCAAAGCGAAGGGCAACCUCCGGAGUGUCGCGGAAGAGUGGUGUGAGUAGAGGGUGUCGCGGAAGAGUGUCACGCAAAUAAGUGGGUGGGGGAAGGAAGCAGAGCAGGCAAUGCCCCUAUUUAUAUUUGGCGUUGGCAUGUCCAGAUCGAUGGGCCAAAGCUCAUUUAGGAAGUGAUGAAUCGAACAAGGAGGAAGGGUAACACGAUGACGUGUUUGGUCUUCAGCCAUUUCUUUACUAAGAAACCCAGGUUAGGAUUGUCUAAAUGUCCAGAAGCUCAAUCUUACUACUAAAUGUAGUUAUUCGCUUCAUUAGUGGAAUGGCUAUCUUCUAUCGUCAGAUCUAUGAUACAAGACUAAGUUUUUCUAUGAUUUGUAUUAGUGUGAUCCAUACAUUAAAUGGUGAAGGAUUACUACUACUAUAUCAGUUUAGGUCUAAUCUAGAGUUUAGACUUCCAUUUUUUGCGGGGAUCUAGAGUUUAGGCUUGACUAAUCUUUAUAGCAGUUUGUUCAUGUGAAAAUUAUGACUGAUACAAACUAGAUGUUAUUAUAUAAUAUCGGGACAAGAUACUAACCUACCAUUAUGCAAAAAAGAAAAACAUAAUACUGAUCUGCCGCUAACAAACGAUGUCACAACUUAGACAAUCUCUGAGGUCGAAUUUCUGUUUUCCAACAAUGGGUUUUUCAUUUCUAUCCUACUACUUAUAGCUGGAUUAAUGCAUUUAUCUCUCUCUAUCUCCGUUUCUGUUGUUACUUACUGCCCUUUUAAGUUUUCUAUUCCCAGUUGGUUUCAUUUUUUAUUUGCUAACAUCCACAAAAAUGAAUAUCCACUUUAUUUUUUUAUUCCCGGAGUGCCGAAGGUGGAGCGGCGACGAGAGCUGGCCAUUUGUUAACAGUCGCAGACACGCGUGUACCCUGCUCGCUGGCCGUUGCAAACUGAACGGCUAUAUGCAUUAAAUGGCCAUACACAAAGCUAGCUUGCACAGUAAUCGGAGGAGUUGAACUAGGUUGAGCUGCUGCUUCAUAUGGCCUGGAACGCCAGGCCGUCUUCUGUGUUGUCGUCGCGGGCACCACGGGACCGUCUUGGCCUUCUUCCGUGUCACCAUCGAGAGCUAGCAGGAAAUGUGUGUCGAGAGGCACAUGAAUACACCCGUGGAUUGUUUUUCAGCGUGCUCAGUUUUAAAAAACGAGUUAUGCAGUUCUUUUUUAAUACAGAGAAAAAAUGAUAAUUUUGCAAGUACUACAGUAUUAAGAUCACUGUUUUUAAUACUGUAAUUUAAACCACAGUUUUUAGUGGUAGCCAAACAGCUCACUGUAAUUAAAACUGUGUUAAUCUCAAAAACUGUGUUAUUCUCAAAAUACAUAGAAAGUACUUUGCUAUCAAACAGGGCUACAAGUGCAGAUUUCCUUGAAGAUAGUAUAUUUUAUAAUUGUAUUGCCAACGUGCUUCCAUAGUUUUAUCACCACAAAAUAAUUCUAGCUGCUUCCAUAGUAAGGUAACAAUAAUCUGUGUUAUAGCAGAAUAUAGAUGUAGUGUGCUUGUCUCAAUAUAAUGCAGAGUUUAGAAAUGAACUAAAAUCUGUGAGCAGGAAGUAAUAGGCUUAUUUUCCAGUUAGAAAAAUAUAUGUACUGUAGCAUCAUGUAUUCAGGUAAUCCCUUGUAUUUUUUCACCAGGUUCAUGUUUUAUAUAUUGUCCAUACACCCACGUAAACUAAAGUUUGUAGUGUCAGCACUAAACAGGGGCACAACUUAGUAUGGGUAGAAAAAUAAGAGCUUGUGAAAAGAAUAGUAUCUCUAUUACAGGAUAAGAAUGACUCUUUGGUUUUAUGCUGAUGUGUGAAAGCACCCCAUUAUCAUGCAAAUAGUACCAGGUUUAGAGCCUUGAUUAUGGCGGCUAUAAACCCAAAACAAUCCAUCUUAUUAUUUAGUAUACAAAGCGCGUUCUGGUGGGAAUGACUCCAAUUAGAAUUCUAGCUGUCGGCAUAUAUCUGAUUGGUCCUGGAUUGAAAAUCUCAAUUGUCAGGACUUGCUUGUAUGCAUUCCUAAAUAGUGUAAAGCUUGCUGCUCGUGAGGUGUCAGCCAUAAACAUGUAUUAUGGCCAUUGUUUAUACGGUGAAGUGCCUAAAAAAUAGAGUUACAGUAGGGUUUUUACCCUACUGUGUUUGCUAAAAAAAGUGCCUAAAAUUCAGUGACCAUAGCUUUCCACUUUAGCUCAUAAACUGGAUGGCAAAAUAGAGUUUGCCCAUUUCAUAUCUAUGUUGUCUUAUUAGGAAAAUAGAGUUUGUUUUAUAGAUGAUGCUUAAUAUGUUUCAUCGACUGGUAUGCUCUAACUUUAGCUCAUAAACUGGAUGGCAAAUGCUAAUUCUGAUGGAGCUUUUGCCACUUAUUGUUUUAUGGUUGUCUAGACAGCUGAUGGCAUGCUUCUUUUUGUGAAUUGUCAAUUCUUUUGUACAGGGUCCCUCGGCUACUUAUGUUUUGCCAGACAAUGAGAGUAUGUAGAUAGCAUGUAUGGUUUUUACAUUGCUUUGCGCAGGUUGAGAUGCAUUACAUGAUGUUUUCCUUUUACAUUUAUGAGUAUUAUAGAGUCCUUUCUUUUUCCACAAGGGGCAGUAGUUGUGUCAUUUGAUUCGAAGGACAAAGAGUUGAUCACAAAUGGGUAGCAUUCAGGAUAUAUACACAAAAGAGUAUAAAACCAAAUUAUAUGAUGUAGUUGACAACUAUUUCUAUUAACUUCUCCUGUACACAAUGUUCACGAGUUCAUGUAUUAAGUACAUUUUAUUGUGUCACUUGUGUUUACUCUUUUUUUAAUGCAAGUUUACAGCUACUCGGAAUUCCUAAUUGUAGACUCAACUUUCUUGACCUACCGAUGAUCUAAUUUGUGGCAUUAUUACCUUAAUAAAAUAUUUGCAUUUAAUUUUCUUUUUAUAUAGGGGUAUAAGUUCUUAUCAAAUGUACUCAAAUACACGGUUACUGAAAAAUGCAAAUAUUUUCAAAACGAACAUGGUUUUAAAUAGGUCUUUGCGCCAUUUGGCGCAACUGGUCAUCUAGUUGAACAUAUAAAGGAUGAGCUAGUGCGCCCAACUAGCGGCAUCAGCCACGUCUCCUUUUAUUCCCCUCAUAGUGCCUCGCGAUUUACUGUAGCGUUUCGGCGAGGACAAGUCCCGAGCGCUCUCCUCUUCCUUUCCCCUCGCUCGCUUCCUCCUCCCUCACCUGCAGAACCCUAGCCGCCUCCUCUCAUCUCCCCUAGCCGCCUCCUCUCCUCUCCCCAGCCGCAAGGGAGCGUUGCGCGAGCUGCCCCGUGCUCGACGUGCACGUCCUCGGCCCCCGUGCCCCUCCGCUCUCUCCUCCCCCUCUGUAGCGUUUCGGCGAGGACAAGUCCCGAGCGCUCUCCUCUUCCUUUCCCCUCGCUCGCUUCCUCCUCCCUCACCUGCAGAACCCUAGCCGCCUCCUCUCAUCUUCCCUAGCCGCCUCCUCUCCUCUCCCCAGCCGCAAGGGAGCGUUGCGCGAGCUGCCCCGUGCUCGACGUGCACGUCCUCGGCCCCCGUGCCCCUCCGCUCUCUCCUCCCCCUCUGUAGCGUUUCGGCGAGGACAAGUCCCGAGCGCUCUCCUCUUCCUUUCCCCUCGCUCGCUUCCUCCUCCCUCACCUGCAGAACCCUAGCCGCCUCCUCUCAUCUCCCCUAGCCGCCUCCUCUCCUCUCCCCAGCCGCAAGGGAGCGUUGCGCGAGCUGCCCCGUGCUCGACGUGCACGUCCUCGGCCCCCGUGCCCCUCCGCUCUCUCCUCCCCCUCCCUGUCUCCAACGGAGCCGAGUCUCUCCGGCGGCGGCGGCGCUCGAUUUGAUCUGCAGGAGAGAGAGAGAGAGAGAGAGAGAGAGAGAGAGAGAGAGAACAUGAGAAGGGGAGAGAUAAGGAAGUAGAGGAGGGACGCCACCAUGGGAGAGCAGGGGCAACAUGGUCUUCGUGGUGGGCAUGGAGGAGCAUAGGAGGAUGCUGGUGCGGGGUGGGGUCAGAGUAGCAGGAGUUCCAGGUGAAGCUCGCGUCAUGGUGGAGUGGAGGAGCUCGUCGUACAUCGCCACCAUCCCCAAUCUAGGUUGCUCCCCCUCCUCCUUCCCCAGGUAUUAUCUCAGUUCUUUGAUUCUGUGAUUUUGAUUUCUCAAUUUGUGUUUUUUCAGAUCUGAGAUAUAAAAAGAAAAGAAAUAAUCUCGUGGAAUUUUAGAUCUGCAAUAGAAACGAAGAGAAAUAAUCUUGUGGAAGAGCCUGACUAAAAAGAAAGGGGUGAAUCAUCUGUUUCUCCCAUCCAUGUUUGUUUUUGCAAAUUUUGUUAAGAUGCAGGUUGGCUAUUCUUCCUUGUUGUCAGAAUCUGAAGUAUUUGACCAUCUGUAGCCACUUCUAUCAUGUGUCGUAUCCUUACUCUAUUUCAAGUUAGUUGUUGAUUCAAACAUGUCAAUGAAAGACAAUAAUGUUAAAUUGGUUCCCCAAAGGCCAAGGUGGUGAUGAUCACUUUGUGCUUCUUUUCCUUUCGUUAAAAAAUGAUUCCUCUGGUUGAUGUUGACGUAGGUUUUUAUGGUCAUGUCAACCGGUACUCCAACUGGCACUGAGAUGAGGUAAUGGUGUGGGAAUUGGGGCUGCAAGGACGUGAAAAUGGCCUAGAAGAGAGUUAGCAAUGGCAUGCGUCCUCAAGUAAUUUCUUGCCAAUGAUGAUGGGUGGCGAAUCCGGCAACCACAGAUCCAUUCCCCUGCAUAACUUUCGUUUUUUCAUUUGAUUUGGUACAAGGCCUACUCAGAAUGGGUUCCCUGAUCUCAAAAUUGUCAGUUUUCUUGCCUUUAGUUUAUAGGUACCUUAACAAAUACAUGUAUUUACCAUAUUGGCAGUCAGCACCAUACGGCAUUCAUUCUUCAAGAUCUCAUAUUUGAGGUUUUACAGUGAAAAGCUGAAGAAGUUGUGACGACAAUGAAAGGACUGAAAGAUUUGCUCAAAGCAAAGACAUCUAGCCGAGAUACAUGUGGAACGAAGAGGAGGGAUCUUAUGUAGAAUAUGCGACUUCCUUGGUGCUGAAAGUGUGCUAUUAAGUCUCAGUUGCUCCUGCAAAAUAGGAUCUUAAUAAAUAAAGGAUAUGCAUCGCCAAGCAGUUUGUUGUGUAUUUUUUCCCCUUCCAACCUUAUUGAUAUGCCUGUUGCUCAAGGUGUUUUUACUUGUUUACAUGAUUAACAAGUGAAUAUAAAUUUGAAACACAAGUUAAUAAAUUUAGCGCAGUCCUUGCUGAAAUCCGUAUUAUUA